rnacentral:rRNA from 1 species
UGAGGAAUAUUGGUCAAUGGCCGUAAGGCUGAACCAGCCAAGUAGCGUGAAGGAUGACCGCCCUAUGGGUCGUAAACUUCUUUUAUAAAGGAAUAAAGUCGCCUACGUGUAGGCGUUUGUAUGUACUUUAUGAAUAAGCAUCGGCUAACUCCGUGCCAGCAGCCGCGGUAAUACGGAGGAUGCGAGCGUUAUCCGGAUUUAUUGGGUUUAAAGGGAGCGCAGACGGGCUGUUAAGUCAGCUGUGAAAUGCCGCGGCUCAACCGUGGACCUGCAGUUGAUACUGGCGGCCUUGAGUGCGGUUGAGGCAGGCGGAAUUCGUGGUGUAGCGGUGAAAUGCUUAGAUAUCACGAAGAACCCCGAUUGCGAAGGCAGCCUGCCAAUCCGUUACUGACGUUCAUGCUCGAAGGUGCGGGUAUCAAACAGG